rnacentral:rRNA from 1 species
CUUACACAUGCAGUCGAGGGGUAUAGUUCUUCGGAAUUAGAGACCGGCGCACGGGUGCGUAACGCGUAUGCAAUCUACCUUUUACAGAGGGAUAGCCCAGAGAAAUUUGGAUUAAUACCUCAUAGUAUUAUAGUAUGGCAUCAUAUUAUAAUUAAAGUUACAACGGUAAAAGAUGAGCAUGCGUCCCAUUAGCUUGUUGGUAAGGUAACGGCUUACCAAGGCUACGAUGGGUAGGGGUCCUGAGAGGGAGAUCCCCCACACUGGUACUGAGACACGGACCAGACUCCUACGGGAGGCAGCAGUGAGGAAUAUUGGUCAAUGGACGCAAGUCUGAACCAGCCAUGCCGCGUGCAGGAUGACGGUCCUAUGGAUUGUAAACUGCUUUUGCACAGGAAGGAACAACUCUACGUGUAGAGUCUUGACGGUACUGUGAGAAUAAGGAUCGGCUAACUCCGUGCCAGCAGCCGCGGUAAUACGGAGGAUCCAAGCGUUAUCCGGAAUCAUUGGGUUUAAAGGGUCCGUAGUCGGUUUAGUAAGUCAGUGGUGAAAGCCCAUCGCUCAACGGUGGAACGGCCAUUGAUACUGCUAGACUUGAAUUAUUAGGAAGUAACUAGAAUAUGUAGUGUAGCGGUGAAAUGCUUAGAGAUUACAU